rnacentral:lncRNA from 1 species
AUGUGUACUAAAGACCGUAGAACAUGCUGGAACAAAAACUAAGCUCUAGAUACCAAAUUUAAGAAAAGACUAAUGAAAUUAAAAAAAUUAUAUUAAGAUUUUUUUUCUUACUAUGCUAAAAAUAAAAUGUCACUAAUGAAAUAUGUCAAUGCAAUAACAUUGAACUAAUUAUUUACUAAUCUUGGAUGAACAGUUUUUGUAUUACUAAACGGAUAUACGACAUAAUGGUGUCUUGUAAAUUGACAUACAUCAUACUUGAAGAGUCUUUGAAAAAUAAAGGAAACAUAAACAUUAAAACAUAAAAAGAUAUAUGUCUUAAACAACAAAAGAGGACUCGAAAGUAGUGUAAGACAGGAGUCAAAAGGUAAUCAUUUAUCGUCUAGUACUAUCCUUGCUUCUCAAGACUUCAAGGCAAUACAAUCUUCCCUGUUCCUCAACAAUUUCAAUUGUCGUCUUUGUGACAAGAUCCUAAAAAAUACAAUAAGGAAGAAAAAAGGUUACAAAACAACUUAGGUCAUUAAACAUAAAUACGGUUAUUACAAAGUUUUAGAACAUGAAAGAUAUCUUUAAAGUUGAGAGAUGAAAAAAAGAUAAAUAUUGUUAUGUCCGGUUAUUGUGGUAGGAAUGUCUUGGCAAUAUUAAUAUGAUUACUAGAAAGAGAAACAUACAGUAUUAAAAAAGACGAAUGAAGGCUCAUAUGGUUUGUCACGCCAAAGUGUAACUCGAGUUUUUACAUGUAGUUUUAGAAACAUCAUCUAUGAAAAAACCCUUUUAUCAAUAGUCAUAUAUAUAGCAUCAAACACACUAUUAUCUGAAAGGGUUUAAUUUCAAAUAUAAAUGGAAAUAUACUAUUUAUUCUUCAAAAGAUGUCAAAGAUUAACAAAAGCAUGAUAUUGAGCAAGAAUUUGAACUAUUUUGCAAUAACUAUACGUUGUCUGAUAUACAAAGAUCAAAAUAUUUGCUUGAGAUAAAAGAUUGGCUUUGCAACAAAUACUUUCUAAAGUCUAUAAAAGAAAGAAGAUGCAAACACAAUAUAAAAUCUGAUCAAGCGAAAAGAUUAUGUGAUUAUACCUUUUAACCUUUGAGAGAAAACAAUUAUAAUAUCCAUGAAGUUACAUUCUCAACAAUUAGUGUUUCAUUAGAUAUAAUUUUUGUAAUCCUAUGAUGUUUCAUCAAACAUAUUUUUUAUCGUAAUCAGGACUCGUGAAAGCUAGUGUGGAAAUAUUCAUUCCUGAUAAAUGGUCAAAGUGUUGAAAUGUUGUGAAAUUGAAACUAAUUUGGUGAAAGUCUUUAAACUUCCGAGAAAAAUUCUAAUGAAAGAAGUAUUAAGUACAUGACUAGUAAUGUCUCUUGUCGGGUACUUUAAAAAUUCUUCUAAACAGUUUGACAAGCACAAAGAAGUUAAGAUGUUUAAUCUAAUGAUACGCAACUAAGACGUGGACCAUAAUAAAGACUAAGAACAACACUGAAUAGAAAUUCACCUAUGAAUGAUUCUCUAAGCUUAAGUCACUAAAUAACCAAGUGAGUAAUGACAUAAAAAUAAAUUAGUAUUGACAAAGAGUUGAAGUAAUUGUUUAUCAUAUACAUAGAUAUAUAAUCUUUUAUAACUUUAUUUUUUAGGCAAUAAUAUUUUAAAGACAAUAAGACAUAAGUGAAUUAUUAGGCUUUAUCUCAUAGUAGUUACUAAGUUGUUAAUAGUAAUUAGUUUAUAUAAUAUCAAGUAUAUUAUUACAAAAGACACAUGUACGCAAUUAUUUUAUCAAGAUAGUUGAUUAUUCACUUGUACUAAUUGAUUACUUACUACAAAUAAUCUACUAUUUACGAAUGAACAUGUUUUUAAUUACUAAACUAAUUUAUUAUUUUAAUUGAUGAUCAAUUAUCAAUCUCUAUUGUUCUUAAAUUUAACAUUCACAAUUUGACUCAUUAACAUACUUUGCUCCCAAUUUUUUUUUUCAAAUAUUUUCAGAAGUGCGUGUGGUCAGGCAUCAAAUAAUAUGAAACUCGUUCUCAUCUACAAUAUCAAAUGCACAUAUCAUAAACAAUCCAACAUAAAAUGCAACAACAUACAACCUAAUAAUAUAACAAUAAGAUCCACAUUAACAAAGCUAACAAUAAGUACUUCAGGGGAAUUUCUAAAAUAACUCCAGGUUCAAACAUAAUUUCUAUCGACUAAAUGAGAGAAUAUUCAACCUAACUUGUCCAAAAACAGUGAGAAACUAAUUUCAUCAAUCUACCAAAAUAAACUUUUGACAUGAACUAAAGCAAUUUGGAUCAGCACAAUUUUGAAUUAAAUACCGAACAAAGUAAACAACAGAAAUUCAAGUACACGAAUAAGAUUCAAGUUGUUGUCAUUCUGUGAUUUAAGUUAAAGAAAAUGGCGACCACCAUAAGUAAAUGAAGGUUCCAUUAGAAACCACACCAACCAAUUCUGUUAGUAAUUGCGACCUUCCAUCUGCUAGCUAUAAUGCUUUCUUGGCACAUAAAAAAUGUGCUUAUUCUCGUUAGAUCUUCCAAAUCAAGCAUUGUAACAUUAAUAAAAGUUAAUCACCAGUAUAAAUUGCAGUAAUAAUUGCUUUAGAUACAAAUUUACAAGAGGGAGCAAGCUAGUCAAGGGGAGAAAACCAACGCUAAAUACUGCUUACAAAUUUAGCUCGUAAUCUCUUAAAAUAUUAUCAAAUUAGUUUUCUCAUGAAUAACUGAUAUUUUUUACUUUAAUUUACAAGAGUACACUCCAUGUACACUUUGUCUUACUACAAAGGAAGCCUCAAAACAAAUGGCUAGAAGCAUCCUUCCCAUCCCCCACAUCUAUGACAGUGCCUCAGCUAAAACAUUCAGCAGAUACAAGAAACACCGCGCAAGAUUUAUCUCCCAUUCAUUUGAUUCAAAAAAACAUUGAAAUCUCAACACUAAAUUUCAGUAAUGAAUACCCGCUUAAUACUUUUUCACUUACUCGAUUAAAAGAAAACCAAAAAACUUCUCAUAAAUUUAAAUUUUGGUUCACAACUACAAUUGCGAUCACGUUGUCAUUGUGGAAUUGCUCACAACAGCAACUUUCCACAAUUGCUAAACGAAUUUAAAUCACAAAAAAUCAAUGCAUUCGCAACUUUGUAAUGCAACCACAACAAAGUGGCAAAAGAAAAUCAACACCAUUUUAUUUCAACAUUUUAUAAAAGAUACAAAUUCAAAUUUCAAUCUUCUUUUCUAACUACUAAAUGCUAGUGGUUGAAUGAGUGCUACCGUGUCAGAUGUUGAAAGAAUGCGAAGGCACUUCUGGAUGGUUCCUUGGGAAGCUACAUGAUUCAUUGACGAAUAAUUGUAAAAAGAUGCAUCAAUAGUUAAAAUAAUUGUAUAUUUCUUUUUCUCUGUUAUUUAUGUGCAAACAUAUAAUAAGUUCAUACAGCUGCAGCAGCUGCAAUGAACAAUCCAGCAGCACAAUACCCGAAAUUUAGAACCAAUUCCAAUCCAAGAAUACUAUUAAAACAAACAAUAAUUAAAGAAAAUUGAGACAAAAAUCUCACAAUAGUCAAAUAAAACCGAAGUACAUUUAAUAACCAAACACAAUUAUCAUAUUAACACGAAAAUUCAAAAAAUAGAGUACAACAUGUCCUUUUAUUUAUUUUUCGAUUCCCUUCACCAUCACAGAGAGGAAAGCACAAGAUAAAGAAGCCCUAACCCGGAAAUUAUUUAACCCUUACGUAAUGAUUAGUUGAUAUCAGCAUCAUCGAAAUCGUCUUCGAAGUUGUUGAAGAAAUUCACAUCGGCAAGUUUGAGGUCGGCGGUGAUGACACCCUCGGCGAAGGUCUCGAGAGGGUCGACGUCGUCGACAUCCAUCGCCAUUGACGACACUUGCUCAUCCAUCUCCCCGAAUAGUUCCAUUGCUCUCAGCAUCUUCUCUCACAUACACUCUCUGAAAAAUUACACCCCUGAAAUUAGGGUUUUUUAUAUAUAGAAUGUUUCUUAUUAUAAAUAUAAUAUUGUCAUUUUAUAUAAUAUUAUUAUAUUAAAUGUUUAAAAAAUUAAUAUUUUGGAAAUGGCUAGACAAAAUUAAAUUAUAAUAGUUUAAAACACGAUUCGAAUUUGUUUUAAAGAUUAAGUGGAAUCUAUUUUUAAAUUCAUUUUUUUCUGCAUCAACUUUGAACCAAAGGUAAGAGUUGAAUUGAAUCAUAUUCAUAAUUUUAAUUAUAUUUAUAAUAUACAAAAACUAGAUGUUAGAAAAAUUACAAAAAAAAUAUUAACCUAAUGAAAAUUUAUAUUAAAAAUAAACAUUCACUUAAAGGAAAAGUAUAACAUCUACAAAUUCAAAUAAAUAUGCCGAGUACAUAUAAUUUGGCUGACACACGAGUCAAGAUUAAAAACUUUCGUGGAUCAUAAAGUUCACAUAAGAAAAAAAGUAUUUAAAAAUGAAAAUGAAAAAGAAAAAUUAAACACAUAAAAAACAUUCAUUCGAUCUAAUUCCAUAUUCUAUGCAAACAAAGUCUAAUUGAAUUUAGGUAAAGAUAAAUUAGUAUGAUAUAAUUAAGGUUUAAUCAUUUCAGACAUUCUUAUUUCUACAUGAUCGUCUCUGAAUAGGUCCUUGUAUUGUAAAUGUUCUCAAUUAGGUUUUUUAUUGUGAAAAAUUGAAUUAAUUUAGACUUCGUGUUAGUUUCGUAUUAACACUGUGGUUUUUUUGAAUUUUUUAAUUAUUUUUAUUUUUUAUUUAUUUUUAAUUUUUUUAAACAAUAAAAUAAAAAAAAAUGUCAUGUGUAAAACUGAUAUUGUACCACGUGGCAAUGACAGUGUGACAUGAUACUGAUAGUGCCAUGUGUCAUUGUCACACCACGUAUCAUUGCAUUAGUCUCAAUCUGGUCCCAAUAUUAUGAAAGAAGAAAUUACCUUUAAUUAUCGUAUUCAAGAAAAUUUUCUCUAAUUUUUUAUAUUAAAAAAAUUUGAAAAAUUCACACCACCAUGUUAUGUCACUGUUUUAACCCUUAUAGGUAUAUUUAAAUAACAUAAUAUGAUUAAGUAAAUAUAAAUAUAAUUAAACUUAAUCAUGUUAAAAAUAUUUAAUAAAAAUAUCAGUUUUAUUUAAAAUAUUUGUUAAGAUUUAUAUAUAAUUUAAAUUUUGUUUGAAUUUAAGGAGGGACAAAAAUUUUUAAUUUUUAAAAUUAAGACUAAAUCGAGACAAAAUAAAAAUACAUGUAUCAAAUUGAGACACAAUAAAAAUACAGGAACCAAAUUGAGACUAAUGCAAUGACAUGUAGCCUAACAAUGACACGUGGCACUGUCGGUGCCAUAUCACAUUGUCAUUGCCACGUGGCAUAAUAUCAGUUUGACACAUGGCAUUUUUUUUUAUUUAAAAUAAAUAAAUAAACAAAAAAUAAAAAUAAAAAUAAUUCAAAAAUUCAAAAAAAUCACGAACUGACACGUGUCACCUCCUUUAACGGUGUUAAUACGGAACUAACGACGAGGUCUAAAUUGAUUCAUUUUUUCACAAUAAGGGAUUUAAUUGAGAGCAUUUACAAUGCGAGGACCUAUUUGAUUCGAUCCUGCAAAAAUAGGGAUGUCCGAAAUUAAUAAACCUAUAAUUAAAAGAUAAUUAACAGAUUGAGAUGUUAAACUUGAUAUGUUUUUAUUGGGUUAGACUCAUGUUUAAAAAGUUAUGUCUCGUUUAGAUAAUGUUGAGUUAGGUAGGAAUAAGUUUCUUCGAGUUGGUCUUAAGUUAGAAUGGAUAAAGUUAGAUUAUGCUCAAAUCAAGUAGGUUGCUUCAGUUUGAUCAAGGUUAAGUUAGGUCCAGGUCAAAUUAAGGUUUAUGAAAUAGUGAAGAGAUGAGGAGAAAUCUCCCUUUUGUUAAAUACACACAUAAGGUUCUCUAUUUAUAAUAGAAGAAAUAUGGGCUAAGCCCAAAAUACAAAUAAGAAAUAAUAACAAACUAACUAACAAAUAAAAGAUAAGGAUAAAAGAUAAAUAUAAAAUAAAGAUAAUAUAUCUAACACUCCCCCUCAAGCUGGUGCAUACAAAUCGUAUGUAGCAAGCUUGUUACAAAUCGGUCCCCGUAAAGACUUAGUGAAAAUAUCUGCUAAUUGAUCCCUUGAAUUUACGAAUUCAGUCUUAAUAUCUCCAGAUACAAUCUUCUCUCGAAUGAAAUGACCAUCAAUUUCAAUGUGUUUGGUCCUCUCAUGAAAGACAGAAUUAGAACUAAUAUGAAGAGCAGCCUGAUUGUCACAAAUAAGCGUCAUUUGCGUGACAUCUCCAAAUUGUAACUCUCUAAAAAAUUGCUUAAGCCAAACAAGUUCAGAAGUGGCUGAAGCCAUAGCUCUAUAUUCUGCUUCUACACUAGAUCUUGCCACAACACUCUGUUUCUUGCUUUUCCAAGAGAUCAAGUUACCACCAAUAGAGACAUAAUAUUCGGAUGUAGGAUCUUCUAUCAGAAGGAGAUCCUGCCCAAUCAACAUUAGAAUAACAAACCACUCUUGUAUGGUUACUAGAACCAUAUAACAACCCUUUUCUAGGAGAUCCUUUAAUGUACUUUAAUAUACGAAUAACUGCAUUCCAAUGAUCUUCACAUGGGGAAUUAAGGAAUUAGCUUACCACACUAACUGCAAAGGAAAUAUCAGGACGAGUAACUGUAAGAUAAUUCAAUUUUCCAACUAGUCUUCUAUAUUUCUCGGGAUCUGACAUAGGCUCCCCUUGUUUUGGUAGAAGUUUAGUAUUAAGAUCCAUGGUUGUGUCCACAGGUUUUGAAUUCAUUAACCUAGUUUCCUCCAAAAUAUCUAGUGCAUAUUUCCUUUGAGAUAUAACAAUACCAUCAUUGGAUUGUGCCACCUCAAUACCCAAGAAAUAUUUAAGUUUGCCAAGAUCUUUGGUCUAAAAAUGGUUGCAAAGAUGUUGUUUCAUCUGAGAGAUACCAUGACUAUCACUGCCUAUAAGAACAAUGUCAUCAACAUAUACUAUCAAGUAGACAGAUCCAACACUUGAGUGAUGGUAAAAGAUUGAAUGAUUCGUCUCACAACGAGAAAUACCAAAUUGUUGAACAACAUCACUAAAUUUUCCAAACCAGACCCUAGGAGAUUGUUUUAGGCCAUAUAAGGAUUUGCGAAGACAACAUACCAACCCAAAAGACUCCCCUGAGCAACAAAUCCUGGAGGCUACUCCAUAUAAAUUUCUUCUUGCAAAUCUCCGUUAAGGAAUGCAUUUUUGACAUCCAAUUGAUAAAGAGGUCAUUGUUGAAGAGCCGUCAUGGCUAUAAAUAAAGGAAUAAAUGUCAUUUUUGCCACUGGAGAAAAAGUAUCACCAUAAUCCAAACCAAAAAUUUGAGUAUAACCUUUAGCCAUAAGACGAGCUUUGAGGCGAUCAAUAGUUCCAUUGGGACCAACUUUGAUAGCAAAAACCCACCUACAACCAACAACAGAUUUCCCAGAUGGUAAUGGGCCAAGCUCCCAAGUUCCAUUAUGCUGAAGAGCACUUAGUUCAUUUAGCAUGGCUUGACGCCAACCAGGAUGGCAUAGGCAUCAUUAAUAGAUUUCGGGAUUGCCACAGAAGAAAUAGAAGAAAGACAUGUAUAAAAAGGUGAAGACAGUCUAUGAUAACUUAAAGCAAGAUAAUGUGGAGAGGGAUUACGGGUAGAACGUAUACCUUUUCGAAGGGCAAUUGGAAAGGUAGACUCAGUUGUCGGAACCGGAGGAGACAAGGCAGUUCACACUUCAAUUAAGUCACUUGGUGGUUGUUGAGAAACAACUAGUGAACUAGGCACAACAACAGGAAUAUUGAUAGUAUUAGAAGGAGACAUAUCAGAAGAAGAAUGAUCAUUAAAAUAAAAGGAAGACUCAUUGAAGGUGACAUCUGCAGAUAUAAAAUAAUGAUUAAGAGAAGAAGAAAAACCUUGUAUCCUUUCUUUGAUUUAGUAAAGCCUAAAAAAACACAUUUGUGUGAUCGAGGAGCUAACUUAUCAAGACUAGGACCAAAAUUAUGAACAAAACAUGUAGACCCAAAAACCUUUAGAGGUAAUGGGUGAAGACUUUCAUGAGGAAAUAAAAUAGAAUAAGGUAUUUUAUUUUCUAAAACAGAAGAAGGCAUGCUAUUAAUGAGAUAACAUGCAGUAAGAACAACAUCACCCCAAAAAUAUUGAGGAAUGUUACCAUGAAUUAAAAAAGUACGAGUUGUUUCAAUAAGAUGUCUAUUUUUACGCUCAGCCACCCCAUUUUGUUGAGGUGUAUAAGCACAUGAAGUUUGGUGAAGAAUACCAUGAGAAGCCAUAAAUUGUUGAAAAGAGUGGGAAAGAUAUUCACGACCAUUAUCAUUAUGCAAAAUUUGAAUAGAAACACCAAACUGAGUUUUAAUUUCAUUAUAAAAAGUUUAAAAAUGAUACAAUAACUCAGAACGAUUUUUCAUUAAAAAUAACCAAGUACAUUUAGAAUAAUCAUAAUAAAGGUAAUGAAGUAUUGAAAACCUAAAUUAGACUUAACACGACUAGGUCCCCAAAUGUCAGAAUGAAGUAAGGCAAAAGGAGACGAAGCACGUUGUGAGACACUACGAGGAAAGGAACUACGAAUAUGUUUUCCUAAUUGACGUGACUCACAGACCAAAUUGGACAACUUGGAUAAGCUAGGAACAAGUUGUUGUAGUUUGGCAAGACUGGGAUGACCUAACUGAGCAUGAAGAAGAGAUGGAGACUCCAUAACUGUCCCAAUAUGUAUAGUGGGGCGAAGAUGAUAAAAACCAUGAGACUCACAUCCGGUGCCAAUCACCUGUCUCGAACUCCGAUCCUAUAAACAAACAAAAUCUUUGUCAAAAGAAAUAUCACAAUCAAGAGAACGAGUUAGAUGACUGACAGAUAAUAAGUUAAAAGGAGACCCAGGGACAUAAAGAACAUUAUCAAUGGAUAAAAAAGGAAAAAUGUUAACAAUCCCAACACCAUGAGCUAAACCUCUAAAUACAUCAGCCAUUGUAACAAAAGGUAAAGGAUUCGAAGAGGACAAAGAGAAAAACAAAGAUUUGUUACCAGUAAUGUGAUUUGUGGCUUCCGAGUAAAAAACUCAAGAGUCAAAAGAAGAAGAUGGACUCAGACCAAUAAAAGAUGUACUUGUGUGUGCUACAGAUGCAGUGGAACUAGAAGGUUGUUGGUCCUUAUACCAUUUGAGAAAUUUACUGAAAAUAACAGAGUCAUCACUAAUAUUAAAUGAAGGAGGAUCCCCAGUAGGUGAUUGUGACGAAGAAGUAGUUUGAACAAUUGCAGCAUAUCUAGGAGGGCGACCAUGUAAUGCAUAAUACCUGUCAAUAAUGUGACCUACCUUGCCACAAUGGUUACACUUGAGACGUCCUUUUCCUGGUUUGUGAGAGUGAUUGCGGUCAUGAUGUUGAGAUGCCAACGUAGAGGAAACAUAUGUAUCAUUGAUGGGUCUACUAGGUACAAGCAAAAAAGUGGAACAAGUAGAAGUCAAAGUGGGGACAACAGGUGAACCCAAAAUCUGAUCACGAACAUGAGAAUACUCAUUAGAAAGGUCGUGCAAUGCUAGCAGCAUGAAUAACUUUGACCGUUACUCUAUUUCUUUGGCAAGAGUAGAAGCAGGAGACAAUAAUUCAUUAAACUCAUGAAAAAGAGCAUGAAUUUUAUCCAUAUAAUCAGUCAUAGAGUCCUGACGCCGAGGAGCAAGAACAAUGAGAAGAUCAUGACAAACACCAUAAAGACGUUGAGUAUCAUUGGUGUAUAAUAAUUUAAUGUGUUCCCAGAUUUCAAAACAUGUUUCGUAGGAACGAAAAAUUUAUUUUAAAGAGGAAUGAAGGGCACCCUUGAGAACAAUGCAUAACUGAGCAUCAACUUUCAACCAAUGGUAACUGCAGCGGAAUCAAUAGUUGUCACAUUCUGAGUAAUAUGAUCAAGAUACCCUUAACUCUUAAGCCAAAGUUUAACAUCUGAUGCCCAAGUCGCAUAAUUAGAGUUUGGGUUUACGUUAAGUGAGUAGAGUCAAGCAUAUGUUAGAUUCAUAUCAAGCUGAGUCAAGUUAAGUUCAUUUUGGGUCCACCUUGGGCUCAAUCAAAUCGAACCCACCUUGAGCUGAGUUAAGUCAGAUCCAUGUUAGGUCUAGUUAAGUAUAAUUGUGUUCAUGUUAGGUCAAAUAAAAUUGAUCCACCUCAAGCUAAGUCUAAUCGAGUUUGCAUCAUGUUAUGUCUUAAUAGAGCCACAUAGGGAUAAGUCAUGCUAGGUCCUCAUUGAACCAAAUUGAAUUAGAAAAACUCAAGUUGAGUGGAGUCGAACAUGUUUGAAUUGCACCUCCUUCAACCAAAUCAAAUUUAAUCACCUCAUAAAAAAUAAUCUAAUCCAUUUUUAACUAGUUAACGCAGUUUGAAAACACAAUAAAGAAAUAUAACAAAAACUCAACAGAAAAUCCAAAUUCAUCAUUAACCAUCUUUAUAAAAUAAAAUAUGAGCCAUGUUGUUAUGAUUAAAGAUAAAUAAAAUUAUAGUGUAUUAAUUAACCUUUAUCUUUUAUAAAGUUAACAAUUUAUCUUUUGAUACAAAUUAAUUCAUAAGAUAUUUGAGUUAGAAUUUGAGUAUCUCAAAUGCAGGACUAUUGAGAUAUAUUAUUUAAGAGUAUUUUUGACCAUUUCAUUAAUUAAGAAUUAAAUAUAAAAUUAGUUGAGUUAGUAAUCAGCUUAAUAUUUUUAUUAUUGUACUUACAAUUCUAAGUGUUAUAUACAGACGUGAAGUGCUUUUUUUACUUUUAAUCGUGAGUAUGUUCUACGUAAACGAGUCUUAGGUUAGAAAACCAUAAAACUACAGGAGCUUUAAUAUUCUCAAACAUAUAUCUUAAGUUAUAAUACCAUGAAUUACAACAAAAUAUGAAAACAUUCCAAAAAAAAUAAAAAAAAGAAAAUGUUUUAUUAAUUUUUAUAAUUUAGAAGGAAUGUCAAUUUAAAUUCUUUAUAUAAUAAAUAAAAUUUUUGAUAACUGUUAUUAAUUUAAAUUACACUUACAUUUUUAAUAUUAACAUUAAUUUCAAUAAUUAAAAAAAUUAAUUAUGAAUUUUAAAAUAGUAUACACUAUUAAACUAGUAUUUUUUUAAAAACUAAUAUAAAAUCAGAUAAAAAUCAAUAUUAUUAUUGUUAUUAACAGUGUUAGCAUAUGCUUAUAUAAAUAUUUAUUAUUAUUAAUUUUAUUUUAUAAUGCUUUCAAUAAUUGAAAAUCUUAAAAUAACUAUUAAUUUAUAUUAUUUAUAAAUUUAAAAUAUUUUCAAAUAUUAAAAAUAGUUCCCAAUCAUUUUAAACAUUUUUUUGUGCUUAUUUUUAUUAAAUCAUGAAAAAUAUCUUAAUAGUUUUUAUAUUAUAAAUAAUUUAUCAAUAAAAUAUUUAUAACUUUUUUUAUAUCUUUAUAUCAAUCUAACUGAAUAUAUAAAAUGUAAAAAAAGUAAUGGAGUUAAUUCUGGUAAGUAAAGUUAAUGGAGUGCUAUUUAGGUAUUUUGUUGUAAGAUAUGAACUUCUUAAUCUCUUUGACCUAAUUUUUCACCAUUUUCUCAAUGUGUUCUCAGAGGUUUCUUUCGAGAUUCCUGGCCUCUUUUCCUGUAAACACUGAACAUCUUCAACUCGCUCAUAACAUAACCCAAAGCCUUCUCAACUCCACCUAUUUCAAACCUCACUCUGUGAUCCCAUGCAUCGCACCUCAAAUCACUUACUAUGUUCUCUCAGACCCAUCUCUUCCGCCUCGCUCCUGCUUAUCCUUCUUCCACUUCCUCGCAACACAAAACCCCCAAAAACCAGACCUCAAAGCCCACCUGAUCCUCCUCUAUAGGCUCUUUUCAGCAAAACAAUUUGCAUCAAUGAGAACCCUUUUGAAUUCCCUUGUCACCAAUGUGGAAAUCAAGCACCCUGUUCGUGAGUUUGUUUCUCUAGUUGAUGAAUGUGAGUCUCAAUUUGGAAGUGAAAGUGAGAGUGAGUCAUAUUUUGUUGAGAAACUAUGUGACAUGUUGUUCAGGGUGUGUGCUGAUAACAGAAUGUUUAGAGAGGCUAUUUGGGUGUUUGAUUAUGUUAUGUCAAAGGGGUUGGCGAUAGAGGGUAGGUCUUGCUUUGUGCUUUUGCUUGCUUUGAAGAGAUGUAAAGAGGUGGAGUUCUGUGUGAGAUUCUUUCAUCGGAUGGUGGAAUGUGGCCGCGUUGAUAUCGGAGUUCAGUCCUUGACUCUUGUGGUUGAUGUGUUGUGUAGGAGAGGAGAGAUCGAUAGGGGUAAGAAGUUGAUGAAGGAGAUGGCUGAGAGAGGCAUUGUGAGGCCGACUGUUUUUACUUAUAAUACAUUGUUGAAUGCUUGUGUUGUGAGGAAAGAUCGAAAGGGGGUCGAGGAGAUACUGGGGUUGAUGGAGAGUGAGGGAGUGCUGGCUUGUUUGACGACGUACACUAUUUUGAUUGAGUGGUAUGCGAGUUCCGGGAGAAUUGGGGAGGCUGAAAAGGUGUUUGAGGAAAUGCGUGAGAGGAACAUGCAGAUGGAUGUUUAUGUGUACACGUCGAUGAUAAGUUGGAAUUGUAGGGCGGGAAAUGUUAGAAGGGCGUUGGCUUUGUUUGAUGAGAUGAUUUGGAAAGGCAUUGUUCCAAAUACUCAUACUUACGGGGCGAUGAUUAGCGGAAUGUGCAAGGCGGGGCAAAUGGAGGCUGCAGAAAUCUUGUUGGAAGAGAUGCAGACUAAGGGGCUUGAUCUGAAUGUGGUGAUAUUUAACACGAUGAUGGAUGGUUAUUGUAAGAGAGGGAUGAUGGAUGAAGCUUUCAGGCUGCAAGUUAUCAUGGAAAGGAAGGGAUUUGAAGCCGAUGUGUUUACAUACAGCACUCUUGCUAGUGGGCUAUGUAAAUUGCACAGGUAUGAAGAAGCCAAGAGGACCCUAAAUUUGAUGGUGGAGAAAGGAGUAACUCCGAACGUUGUUACUUGCACUACUUUAAUUGAGAUAUAUUGUAAGGAAGGAAACCUUGCAGAAGCUGAGAGGAUCUUAGGGAAUAUGGAUAAAGAGAGAAUGGUGCCUAAUAUUGUUACAUAUAAUACUCUAAUAGAUGCAUAUAGCAAGAAAGAAAAAAUAAAGCAAGCUCAUGUGUUAAAAUCUGAAAUGAUUGGGAAGGGGAUAGUGCCAGAUGUAUUUACAUACACAUCACUGAUACAUGGGGAAUGUAUAGUUAACAGGGUAGACGAGGCUCUGAAGCUUUUCAGUGAAAUGUUGGUAAAGGGCAUAAGAGGAAGCGUAAAGACAUAUACAGCUAUUAUUUAUGGUUUAUCCAAGGAAGGGAGAGCAGAUGAAGCUUUUAAGUUUUAUGAUGAGAUGAUGAGAAUGGGUCUAGCACCUGAUGAUAGAGUUUUUGCUGCACUUGUUGGUAGUCUUCAUAAAGUCAGUUCUCAUGUUGCUGCGAAACAAAAUGAGUGGUGCACGGAAAAUAGACUCUUCUGAUGCCUCGAGCUGGCAAACUCUAGUUUGUCAAUUUCAGGUGUGGAGGUGGCUCAUACAUUAUGAUUUUGUUCUUGAAGCCUGAAUGAAAAAAAAAAAAAAAAUCUUCCACAACACAGUACCAAAUUAGAGCUCUGAAACUGUUACAUUGUACAAAUAUUCUUGUGUUGGGUAAUACGUACAAACCUCCUUCCUAUAUCUGUUGAUGAAUUAUACAUACCCUAUGAUGGUGAUUAGAGACUUUGCUGGAGUAUUUCACAGAAAUGGGAGUUGGUCAGAUUUGUUCAAAGAACUAACGAGAGUCCUUCGUGAUGAAUUCCUUUCCUCCAAUAAACAAUCAGAUGUUCGACGGAGACUUUCAAUAAAGCUAUCAUACACAGCUACACCCCAGUUAUAUUUGUCAAUCAUUCCUGGAUCAUCUACUAACUUAACCAAUCCCUAUGAAACAAUACAACUUGUGUUUGGAAAAUACAGCUCAUUUAAUGCAAGAAGAAUGUACAACUUACAAAAUUCCUCUGCAUCAUCUGUACUACGAAGUUCAUCACCUUUGUGAACAAUAUCUGCUAACCGAACAACAGGUCCAUGAAACAUUUUUCUUGUGUUACAUUCAUUGUCUUCUUCUAAAUUAAUAUUUUGACCCACUGCCAACAGUUGUAAAGCUAAAUAGACAUCUAACAAAGUAAAACUUAUUGUUUUAUUCAAUGUCUUUUCAUUCCAUCUCGUACAUAAUGCAUAGAACAAUGGGAGAUAUAUAUUGAUUUUUCCCCAAGUUCAAACACAAACUAAACGUUGUUUCUGCAAUGUGACUCUUAUGCUUGGUUGUUGUAAAGUCCCAAUUUUGACAUGAUUUUCAUUGAUAAAUGCACUUCUUUUGGGAGGCUUGUGCUUCUAAUUCCUUAGUUUUAAUUCAUUUUCAGAUAUUCUUGUUAAUAAUAGAGUCUUUAGGAAAAUAUGUUAAUAUUGUGUUUUUAAGUAGUUAUUUCCGUUAGUGUCUUGAUUGGAUUCUUCUAGUAGCAUAGUUUAAUUGUUUUUAGUCUUAGUCUCAUGUGCAGCAUAGAAUUUCCUAGUUCUAUCUAAUAUUCUAGCUUUGAUUUAUGGUGUUGUAAUUUGCGAUGCAGUUAACUUCUUUAGGGAAGCCUAAGUCUUUGGGAGCCAGUGAAAAGAAUUGGGGACAACCUAGCUACACGUGACAAACAAUUGGCAGUGGAGGCUGAAGAAGCAAUAGGAUGGAUGAGCUGAAUUUGUCCAAGAAGCUAAGAAUUAAGAGGAGUCAGAUGCUGCCAAUCUGAGAAAAGGCCAUUUGGAAGAAGUUAAUUGGCCAGUUUGCUUCAUUAUAUGCUUAUAUGCAUUAGCUAGUUAUUUUAGAAGAGCUAAGAAGAUUACGUGCUGUUCAGGUUAUUCGUAAUCAUACUUAUGAAAGUUUAGUUAGUUAAUAGUAGUUAGUUUACUUGCAUUUUCCAGCCAUGAAUUGUUUAGGAGUUGAGUGGCCUAUAAGAGGGCUGAUACGUAACACCAACGACAACUAUCGCCUCAUUAGACCACACUGGUUCCAUUCACAACGACUGAACCAUUUUUUCACAUUCUCUCUACACAUUUUUACAGAGCCUGAACAGACACUUUUCUCUUUUCUCUGCUUGGAUUCAAGAUUCACGCACCUUCAAGCCUGGUUUCAGUGACUUUUACCAUUCUGUGAAGUUUAAAUUCUCUGUAAUUGAUUUUCAUUCAAUGCAAUUUUUACAUUUCAGCCAGUUUUAAUUCUCUAUAAUUGAUUUUCAUUCAAUGUAAUUCUUACAUUUCAGCCAUUACUCUCAAUGCUUCUACUUCAAUUUCUUGCUUCUGAUGUUAGUUUCGAAUUCAAAUUACUUUUACAAGCUUUAUCUCUCAGAUUGACCUAUUAAAUUGACCUUGUAUUUACAUUUUCUGCUGUCACUGGUUCAUGCGUUCGUUCAUGUUCACUUACGUUUUUAUGUUUCCAGUUGGUAUUUUCAGUGCUUUUAUUUCGUUUCACUCUCUCUUCAUGAUAGGAACUUAUUUUCAAUGAUAAUUUCUAGAUUCAAUCAUUGUUUUACAGUUUUCACAAUUUGACAGUUCAGUUAGUUUAGUUAGUUAAUUCUGUUAAGUGUUAAUCUAGGCUUUAGAAUGUGAUUUUUAUAUUCUGUGUUUUAAUCUCAAUUUUAAUCAUUGAUUCUAUGUUUCUUGCACAUUUAAAACAAGCUUGCAUUGCUAAUUUUGUUACUGGAUUCAGAUUUCCAUUUUUUGCUUGCUCUUAAGAACUUAGGUUUUCUAGAUUUGGCAAAAAUUGGGAAUAUGAAUUCAGGCUUAUGAUUUUCUGAAAUUGAUUCUUCGAAUUGUUAAUUAGCAUUGCUAUAGAUGGAUUUAGAUGUUAAAAUAAUGAAUUCUCUAACUGCAUUUCGUUUUAGCUAGUUAAGUACUCAUUUUACUUUUGCUGUCAAAAUUCCGAUGCAUUAGUUUAGUGUCUUUUGCUGCAAAAUCUUUGUUUACAUAGUGACUUCAUGAUUCCAUUGCAUUUAACCAAUUUUGUAUACAUUUCAUGCAUAUUUUCAUUGAAAUAGACGUGUUCCAGCUAUUAAUUUUGCUUUUUACAAAGUUUCACUUCUUUCAUGCAUUUUAACAAACACUUUGAAACUUAGUUCUAGAGUGUGAAUUUGGGUAUCUAGAGUGUUUAGUCAGUUAUGCAUUUGCAUUCAAUUUAGUUUUAUGAUUUUAUUUAUGUCUCAUCAUUCUCAUCUUGAUUAGAUAAUUUUCGUCAUCAUUUCAUAUUAUAAAUUCUGGUACAGCAUUCUUACAUUUUCAUUCACCAUUAGUCUUAAAUUUGUUCAUGCACCAGUUUUAGCAUAGAUUGCAUUGUAUAUAAUUUUCCUCCAUAGUUUUAUUAAUUUUUCAUGGUCAACAAAACAACAAACAAGCUACUAAAAACUGAGUUUCCUGGUAUUGACACUUAGGUUGUUCCUAUGUUACAUUUUAGGAGGAAUUUAUAUCGACUAAAGCUUAAUGUGGCUAAAGGCUUUAUGAGUUGUCAUUUUCUUGAUCAAGAUUAAGCUAUAUCUUCAUCAGUAGUUUGCUUAAUCUUGAUCCCAACAUCAUUACAAAACUGCUAAAUUUCUUUAUUUUGAGUAUAAUAGGCCUUCCAAAUAUCAAAUCCACUUGAAUGCAAAAAUCCAACUCUGUAGAGUAUAUCCUCGGUAUCGAUGCUGAAAUCCUAUUGUCCCACCUGAAAUUUUUAAUAAUUUCAAAGUGAGUAAAGAGAAGAAAUGUUUGUGAAGAAUACUGAAAGCAUUUUCUUAGUUUGCUUCUGCUAACUCUCUUGUAUACUUUUAGUGAGAAGAAGAAGAAUUAAGGCUUUUCCAUCUCUAGUUUGAAGGAAAGCUAUAGUAUUUUUCCUCUUUGCCAACUAUCUCACUUGAGAAUGGCAAUGUUAUAUGGAUUUCUUUCCUAUUUUUCAAGAGAAAUGAUUGUUGGCAAUUAGUUUCUUUACUUUCAUAUAUUCUCUUACUCUAACAUUUUUUUUUAAAUAUCUCUUUUGUCGUUUAUGAUUUAUAUCUUUUGUCAUUUUUGUGUUUUUUAGCAGGUAAUCUGGUGAAGUACUAUGCAGUUAAUGGUAGAAGCAACAAAUGGCAGGGAAUGCUUUAAUAGAUUCAUCAAAUGGUCUUAACAUUCGAGAUUAAUCGAAGAUUGAAGCAAGAAAACAACUUUUUGGAUUCAAGGAUAUGGAAGUGAAAAAAAAAAUUAAUUCUAGAUUAAUCAAUCCAGAAGAAAAAUAAUAAUUUUGAAUUAUGCAGUUUUUCGAAUUGAAGAAUUUCAACAUAAAAAAUUUACUAUAAAAUAUAUUUUUAGAUUGUAAAAUUUAAGAGUGAAAAAUAUAAUUUUAAAAUUUUAAAAUACAAAAGUAAAAAUAAUAAUUUCAAAUUGCUUAUGGUAUAUGCCCCUUUUAUCAUCAAGUCAAUUUUGACCGAUAUAUUGUGUCAUUUAUGGUUCAUGCUAGCUUUUUGAAUUGCAUAAUUUGAUAUUGAACAACUUAAUUUUGAAUUAUGCAAUUUAAAAUGUAUUUUUAGAUUCCAAAAUUUCGUGAAAAAAAAUAAUUUCAAAAUUUUGAUGUCAUAUUUCAUUUCUAUAAGUAAACUUUGAUUGUCGUUGGUGGUUCAUGCCACUUAUUCUUAUCAUAGUGUUGUUAUCACUAAUUUAACAAAAAUUACUACAUUAACUAAAUUUUAAAAAGGUAAGACUAAAUUAAAAGUAUUUAAAAUAAUGAAACUAAACUGAAAA